GUACCUACGGGGGGCAGCAGUGGGGAAUAUUGCACAAUGGGCGCAAGCCUGAUGCAGCGACGCCGCGUGCGGGGUGGAGGCCUUCGGGGUGUAAACCGCUUUUGUUCAAGGGCAAGGCACGGUCUUUGGCCGUGUUGAGUGGAUUGUUAGAAUAAGCACCGGCUAACUACGUGCCAGCAGCCGCGGUAAUACGUAGGGUGCAAGCGUUAUCCAGAUUUAUUGGGCGUAAAGGGCUCGUAGGCGGAUCGUCGCGUCCGGGGUGAAAGUCCAUGGCUCAACGGUGGAUCGGGGCCGGGACGGGGGGG
rnacentral:rRNA from 1 species